UACGAAGGGUGCAAACGUUGCUCGGAAUUAUUGGGCGUAAAGCGCACGUAGGCGGCUUUGCAAGUCCCAUAUGAAAUCCCACGGCUUAACCGUGGAAGUGCAUGGGAAACUGCAGAGCUUGAGUACUUAAGAGGAUCGCGGAAUUCCCGGUGUAGAGGUGAAAUUCGUAGAUAUCGGGAGGAACACCGGUGGCGAAGGCGGCGACCUGGGUCGAGACUGACGCUGAGGCGCGAAAGCGUGGGGAGCAAACAGG
rnacentral:rRNA from 1 species